GACGAACGCUGGCGGCGUGCUUAACACAUGCAAGUCGAACGGAAAGGCCCUGCUUUUGUGGGGUGCUCGAGUGGCGAACGGGUGAGUAACACGUGAGUAACCUGCCCUUGACUUUGGGAUAACUUCAGGAAACUGGGGCUAAUACCGGAUAGGAGCUCCUGCUGCAUGGUGGGGGUUGGAAAGUUUCGGCGGUUGGGGAUGGACUCGCGGCUUAUCAGCCUGUUGGUGGGGUAGUGGCUUACCAAGGCUUUGACGGGUAGCCGGCCUGAGAGGGUGACCGGCCACAUUGGGACUGGGAUACGGCCCAGACUCCUACGGGAGGCAGCAGUGGGGAAUAGUGCACGAUAGGCGGAAGCCUGAUGCAGCAACGCCGCGUGCGGGAUGACGGCCUUCGGGUUGUAAACCGCUUUCGCCUGUGACGAAGCGUGAGUGACGGUAAUGGGUAAAGAAGCACCGGCUAACUACGUG
rnacentral:rRNA from 1 species